CAGUCGCCGCGGUAAUACGUAGGUGGCAAGCGUUGUCCGGAAUUAUUGGGCGUAAAGGGCUCGCAGGCGGUUUCUUAAGUCUGAUGUGAAAGCCCCCGGCUCAACCGGGGAGGGUCAUUGGAAACUGGGAAACUUGAGUGCAGAAGAGGAGAGUGGAAUUCCACGUGUAGCGGUGAAAUGCGUAGAGAUGUGGAGGAACACCAGUGGCGAAGGCGACUCUCUGGUCUGUAACUGACGCUGAGGAGCGAAAGCGUGGGGAGCGAACAGGAUUAGAUACCCCCGUAGUCUCUGUCUCUUAUAU
rnacentral:rRNA from 1 species